AUACAUGCAUCGCUUUCACCCCCACUUUGUUUCUAUCCACUGUAAAUGGUAAUUAGUUGAGUCAAUUACAUUUGACUGAAACUGAGCAUCCAAAUACAAGCUGAAGAUUAUAUUAUAAUUACUGAAUAUCGCACAGGUCUUGUGUCUUCCCCAAUAGGAGUCACUUACAAAGGCACCAACCAGAGAGAAGGCAUAUGUGCUCCCUGUUUAUAGCAUGUUCAUACAGGCCUUUUAGUUCCCAUUUGAACUUUGAAUUUGAAAUCAACACAGCAACUGAGGACAGAUUAUAAUUACUGAAUAUGACUCUCAAAUUUAUGCAUGCUUUUCCUUGUAUUUGCCUUAAAAUACUCUGCAAAGCUGCAUAAUAGGGGUUAUUUGAUACUCUAGCAAAGUGUGAUGCUCUGGACACAUGCACAAAUUAUACACGUGGAAUACAUGUACCACAAAGUGAACUGGGCAAAUUGCAAGACACACUAUAGAUAGCAUGUAGCGAUGACAAAAGAUUUCGAUUAGAUGAACUAGGCCUCAGAAUAAUGGACAUUUGUUUUGCUGAUUUUGGACUACUGAAAUCUUUCGAUCACAACUGUCCAUUUUGAUGUCCAUUAGUCAGCCGUUUACGAUCAUGUAUUCAGUGCACUUUUGUGCUAUGGUCCAUCUGCAGUAGGGCACAUAUUUUUAUGUUGAAAAUUUAUCAUUUUUUUGUGCUAGUAUUGUAAUAUCUAUUGUGGAUUCUUACUUAUAUGUACAUUUAUCUGGAAGUAGAAAGCUUUUGCACAGUUUUGUUCUAGUAAUGUCUUAUAAUUGGAUGAGGUUUUCCACUGAAUUAACUUUCAUUACAUUUGUGACUUUUUACUCUCUCUCUCUCUCUAAUUACUAUAUUUAGCUUUGGUUUUGUAUAUCUUGCAUUUUGGAUGUUUAGCUUUGGCUUGGAUAUAUGAAAGCUUGAGCUGAUUCAGGAGAUGACAGCUACUAUUUCCAUGGCAAGGAAAUAGCUAGGAGUUGUAAGUCAAAGGAAAUAUUAAAGAAUGAUGUGGUUGCCUUAGAGGAGAGUUGCAUCAAGUAAGAGAGAAUCACGAUCUCCAAAUAGCACGGGUGCGGACCUUAAAGGCUAAAAUAGAUAGAUACACCGAAUAUACUGGAAAAUUCUCUAUAGAGUAGGAAAAGUUUAACUGCAAUAACAAAUUUACUUUGAGAGUUUGGCAACUAGUCUUGGAUUUCUGUUAUUUUUAGGGGAAGAGGAAGAUGAUCUAUGUUUCUACUUCGUUAAACUACAUAUUAUGAAGGUUAGGCUGUUGCAAGUUUUUUCAAGUGUUUGGGUGAUGAUGAAUAAACGGACUAGAAGAUUGUCCCAAAUGCCGGAAGAAGUUAGAGGGGAAAUAGAACCUUAUUUUAUUGAGCAUGCUGCUGUCUUGGAUGAAGACAGCCGAAAACUGCCAAAGCUCAACGAUAACCCUGCGGAUUACAUGAGGCGUGAGUGAGCAUAUAAUUUCUUCUAUUUCCUUUUUUCCUUUUUUGUCAAGUGGUCAGUAUACACUGUGUAUCAUCUGUGUUUGGGUAAACCAUAUUCCGGCAAUAUGAUUGGUUUUGGAAACAUUUGAAAAUCAUGUAUGCUCCCAAUGAUUUUAUAUUAGAUUUUGAUUUCCUUCGAAUAUUCUCGUGACACGUGGUUUCUCUCUGGUAGUAGUGAAGCUAGGAGAGUAUCUUAGUACCAUAAUUACUAUAUUGAUUUGCUAGAGCAUUUGAUUCAAACAUGCAUGAUUUCUAUUUUAAUGAUUGUCUGAGGUCAUUUCAUAAUUGCUUCCCAAAGUCAUGAUCCUUGAUGUGUU